ACGGAGGGUGCAAGCGUUACUCGGAAUCACUGGGCGUAAAGAGCGUGUAGGCGGGUAUAUAAGUCAGAAGUGAAAUCCAAUAGCUUAACUAUUGAACUGCUUUUGAAACUGUGUACCUAGAAUGUGGGAGAGGUAGAUGGAAUUUCUGGUGGUGGGGUUAAGGGCGUAGGGAUGAGAGGGAGGAGGGAGUGCGGAGGGGGUGUAGGGGAGCAGUGUGGAGGGUGGGACGGGGGGGGGUGGGGAGCAGGGGG
rnacentral:rRNA from 1 species